rnacentral:rRNA from 1 species
CACGUAGGAGGCGAGCGUUGUCCGGAAUCAUUGGGCGUAAAGAGCGCGCAGGCGGCUUGGCAAGUCGGGUGUGAAAUCCCGGGGCUCAACCCCGUGACUGCAUCCGAUACUGUCAGGCUAGAGGUAGGUAGGGGAGAUCGGAAUUCCUGGUGUAGCGGUGAAAUGCGCAGAUAUCAGGAGGAACACCGGUGGCGAAGGCGGAUCUCUGGGCCUUACCUGACGCUCAGGCGCGAGAGCUAGGGGAGCGAACAGG